rnacentral:rRNA from 1 species
UACGGGGGGGGCAAGCGUUGUUCGGAAUUACUGGGCGUAAAGGGCUCGUAGGCGGCCAACUAAGUCGGAUGUGAAAUCCCCAGGCUCAACCUGGGAACUGCAUCCGAUACUGGAUGGCUUGAAUCCGGGAGAGGGAUGCAGAAUUCCAGGUGUAGCGGUGAAAUGCGUAGAUAUCUGGAGGAACACCGGUGGCGAAGGCGGCGUCCUGGACCAACACUGACACUGAUGAGCGAAAGCCAGGGGAGCAAACGGG